GCUGAUUUUGCAACACACCGAUUUGUGCCGGUGCCCUUUAGUUGUGCGGACCAGAUAGAGUGCAGCCUUUGUGAGCAACUAGCCCCUUCGCUAAGUUGAGUACAAACUAAAUACAGACUUCCAUUUUAUGUCCUCAUGCGGGGUGAGGUGAAAAAGUUUCAGGUCUCAUCAAAUGGAGAAUGAUCAACUUACACUGGAAGAAAAA